rnacentral:rRNA from 1 species
GACGGAGGAGGCAAACGUUAUCCGGAAUUAUUGGGCGUAAAGCGUCCGCAGGUGGCGAUUCAAGUCUGCUGUCAAAGGUCGGGGCUUAACCCCGGGAAGGCAGUGGAAACUGAAUAGCUAGAGUGCGGUAGGGGCAGACGGAAUUCCCGGUUUAGCGGUGAAAUGCGUAGAGAUCGGGAAGAACACCAGUGGCGACAGCGCUCUGCUGGGCCUGCACUGACACUGAGCGACGAAAGCUAGGGGAGCGAAAGCG